rnacentral:ncRNA from 1 species
CGCAAAGUGACGAUGGGGAAGAGUACGUACUCCUGACGUGCAGAGAGGGGCUGGCUUGGUGAAAAGCCCUCCGAGGGAGUAGGGAAGGUGGCCCCGGAGCGCCUGCCGGAAGAGGAGUAUGGCAGGCCGGAGGCCUCCGUUAUAGGUCUUGAAGUGCGGGCAUAUUAUCACGCCCGAAUUCAGGUGGUACCACGGACAGCACUGUUCGCCCUGAGC